rnacentral:tRNA from 1 species
GUGCUCGUAGCUCAGUCGUAGAGGCAGAGGACUGAAAAUCCUCGUGUCGCGUUCGAUUCCGUCCCGACCACU